UAGGGAAUCUUCGGCAAUGGACGAAAGUCUGACCGAGCAACGCCGCGUGAGUGAAGAAGGUUUUCGGAUCGUAAAACUCUGUUGUUAGAGAAGAACAAGGACGUUAGUAACUGAACGUCCCCUGACGGUAUCUAACCAGAAAGCCACGGCUAACUACGUGCCAGCAGCCGCGGUAAUACGUAGGUGGCAAGCGUUGUCCGGAUUUAUUGGGCGUAAAGCGAGCGCAGGCGGUUUCUUAAGUCUGAUGUGAAAGCCCCCGGCUCAACCGGGGAGGGUCAUUGGAAACUGGGAGACUUGAGUGCAGAAGAGGAGAGUGGAAUUCCAUGUGUAGCGGUGAAAUGCGUAGAUAUAUGGAGGAACACCAGUGCGAAGGCGGCUCUCUGGUCUGUAACUGACGCUGAGGCUCGAAAGCGUGGGGAGCAAACAGG
rnacentral:rRNA from 1 species